UACGAAGGGGGCUAGCGUUGCUCGGAAUCAUUGGGCGUAAAGGGUGUGUAGGUGGCGCGCUAAGUCGGGUGUGAAAUUUCGGAGCUUAACUCCGAAACUGCAUUCGAUACUGGCGUGCUUGAGGACUGGAGAGGAGACUGGAAUUCAUGGUGUAGCAGUGAAAUGCGUAGAGAUCAUGAGGAAGACCAGUGGCGAAGGCGGGUCUCUGGACAGUUCCUGACACUGAGACACGAAGGCCAGGGGAGCAAACGGG
rnacentral:rRNA from 1 species